rnacentral:rRNA from 1 species
UACGGGGGGGGGCAAGCGUUGUUCGGAAUUACUGGGCGUAAAGGGCUCGUAGGCGGCCAACUAAGUCGGACGUGAAAUCCCCAGGCUCGAACCUGGGAACUGCGUCCGAUACUGGAUGGCUUGAAUUCGGGAGAGGGAUGCAGAGUUCCAGGUGUAGCGGUGAAAUGCGUAGAUAUCAGGAGGAACACCAUUGCGAAGGCAGCUCGCUGGGACGUAACUGACGCUGGAGACGCGAAAGCGUGGGGAGCAAACAGG